UGGUUUUACUAAAAUUUAUUUUCUAUUUUAGAAAAUGGUUCUUAAUUCAAAAGAAGUGAAUAUUAAUGAUUAAAUUCAAAAAAAGUGACAAAGAGCAUUUGCGAGAUUAAUUACCAUAGCUUAGAUCACAGAUUUGAGCUUCUACAAUGUAAACUCCACCGAACCAAUUCCUUUUAUCUCUAAUGGCCAACAAGGAUUAAUUGGACUUACUAUGGACUGUAAAAAUAAAUACGAGUCUGGACACCUCGUGGAAAUAUCUAAAAAUAAUCAAUGAAUGAACAUAAUAUCAGAAAAUUCGGUCUGUAAUAGCUAUAGAGAUUAUAAAUCUCAAAAUAAUAUUAGUCUUAUAAAAAUAUACAUAUGGAUAAUUUUAAGAAAAGCAAUUCUUUGAAUUUUUUUAAAAAAUUAAACAAUUAUAAAUUAACAUAUCUAUAUUGUUUAUUUUCAAAGGAAAAAAAUAGAAAACUUC
rnacentral:lncRNA from 1 species